AGAGUUUGAUCCUGGCUCAGAACGAACGCUGGCGGUAUGCUUUAUACAUGCAAGUCGAACGAGAAAGCUUUUUCGGAAGUGAGUAGAGUGGCGAACGGGUGAGUAACACGUAGAUAAUCUACCUUUUAGACAGGGAUAACCAACCGAAAGGAUGGCUAAUACCAGAUAAGAGUAGGGUUGGGAGACGACCUUAUUUAAAAGAGAAAUCGCUAAGAGAUGAGUCUGCGGACCAUUAGUUAGUUGGUAGGGUAAGAGCCUACCAAGACAGAGAUGGAUAGCGGGUCUGAGAGGAUGAUCCGCCACACUGGAACUGAGACACGGACCAGACUCCUACGGGAGGCAGCAGUAGGGAAUUUUGCGCAAUGGGCGGAAGCCUGACGCAGCAAUACCGCGUGAGUGAAGAAGGCCUUCGGGUCGUAAAGCUCUUUAUCUAUGGGAAGAUAAUGACGGUACCAUAGGAAUAAGCACCGGCUAACUCCGUGCCAGCAGCCGCGGUAAUACGGAGGGUGCAAGCGUUGUUCGGAUUUACUGGGCGUAAAGGGUGCGUAGGCGGACGUGCAAGUUAAGGGUGAAAUCCCGGGGCUCAACCUCGGAACAGCUUUUAAAACUGCAUGACUAGAGUAAGAUAGAGGCAGAUGGAAUUCCUGGAGUAGCGGUGGAAUGCGUAGAUAUCAGGAGGAACACCAGAGGCGAAGGCGAUCUGCUGGGUCUUAACUGACGCUAAGGCACGAAAGCGUGGGGAGCAAACGGGAUUAGAUACCCCGGUAGUCCACGCUGUAAAUGAUGAAUACCAACUAUGUGAGGAAUCGACGCCGAACGUAGUGCAGCUAACGCGAUGAGUAUUCCGCCUGGGAACUACGGUCGCAAGACUAAAACUCAAAGGAAUUGACGGGGGCCCGCACAAGCGGUGGAGUAUGUGGUUUAAUUCGAUGCAACGCGAAGAACCUUACCUGAAUUUGACAUAUUCGGCAAUUUUUAGAAAUAAAGAGUUCUCUUAGGAGACCGGAAUACAGGUGCUGCAUGGCUGUCGUCAGCUCGUGUCGUGAGAUGUUGGGUUAAGUCCCGCAACGAGCGCAACCCUUGUCCUUAGUUACCAGCG
rnacentral:rRNA from 1 species